CGCGUAGGCGGUCUCUUAAGUCAGAUGUGAAAGCCCGGGGCUUAACCUCGGAAGUGCAUUUGAAACUAAGGGACUUGGGUAUGGGAGAGGGAAGUGGAAUUCCUGGUGUAGCGGUGAAAUGCGUAGAUAUCAGGAGGAACACCGGUGGCGAAGGCGACUUCCUGGACCAAUACUGACGCUGAGGCGCGAAGGCGUGGGGAGCAAACAGGAUUAGAUACCCUGGUAGUCC
rnacentral:rRNA from 1 species